rnacentral:tRNA from 1 species
ACCGGAGUGGCGGAACGGUAUACGUAGCGCGCUCAGAACGCGUGGCCCUCGAGGCAUGCAGGUUCGACUCCUGUCUCCGGUA